CAUUUCCCCCCUCCUCAAGAUCAAGCCAGCAAAACCUAGCUUUCCUCUUCCCUUUUUCCUCUAGCCGCCGCCGCCCCUUUCUUUUCCCCUCUCCCAUGCAAGCAGAGAAAAGGAGAGGUUCAGAAGUUUCAGUAAUCCACCGAGACCGCCGGAGAAAUCCUUGACCGUGCCGUCGCUUGGCGCCGCCUUUCACCGCGUUGAGCACGGGGAUGGAGCCCUCGUGGCCUCUGCUACCUCCUCGUUGAGUUACCAGAGCUAGGAGCGCUCGAUUCGCCUGCAUCGUCCUCGACUUCACGGAAACAAUGCUGUCGCUUCUUCAUCGUCUUCGGCCUCGUCUCGCUCUUCAUCGCCUUCCGAUCUUCCCCGUCCUCGACCACCGGCUCUGUGAGCACCUUCUUUCUCUACUCGUUCGAUUCCGUGGGUUUGUUUCAUAUGCUGCACCAUCGAGGCACCGCCGGCGAGCAGGUUUCAUGCCGCGUAUUUCUCCGUCUUCUUCUGUUAACAGCGGUUCAGAAAAGUUCAGUUCUUCUUGCUCUUUCUUCAGUUAACGCGGCAUCACCGGCUCCUCUCCUGCGCGCGCCGGCACCGGCCAUGUCGUGUUUGCUGACCGCCUCCUGGAAUCCUGGCCGACGACCCCGGCGUGCGUCCGGCUCGAUCCAAUUAACCCGAUGCCACUUUCCAUCUUCGUCAUCUGCAUUCGUCAGCUGAAGUCUUCUUCGUCAGUUCGUGUUCCUCCGCGCCUUGUGCAAGCCUAGUCUGCGUCUUGGAUGGGUUAAAAAUUCCCAAAUUUCCAGAUGCGUUUUGCUUCUUCCCGGAUAGGAUCGCGAAGUGGUGCGGUGAGAUACGACAAGUUCUCCGGAUGUUCCUCGACAAGCUUUAACAGGAAAGCAUUUCCCCUAUACUCCUGCCCCUGCAGAAGUCGCUCACCUAUUUUAUUUUUUGCCUUCUCCCUCAUGCUAUCCUUAAGUUGGGUUCUUGUCACGUGUCCAUUCCACUUGUUACCUCAAGCAGCCCAUAUUGCCACCACCAACCACCAACCUCCUACAGCUGUUGUUUGGUUUCGGGUCUGCCUUGCGAGUCGUAGUGCAUGCUAGUGCUUUUAUAUCUCGUUACCGUUAAUGUUAUCUUAUCGGGUUAUCUAUUGGGGAAUCAUGACACAUGGUUUAUGGAUAUAUCUGUUGAGGGUAUCAUGGUUACUUUAAUUGUUAAGCGGAGACAUCGGUGGGUCAGUUGUUCGUUUUAUGGCGGCUCACUUGUGUUUCUUUAAAGCUUAGGACCCCGAGUUCCUGUUAUCUGUUCUGAGACUGAGCGCUCUAACCACACGUGGGUACGCCUAUGGGUCUCCCCUCGACCACUGCCGGAAUCUACAGCUUUGUCCAGCGGCCACAACUAGAUUGUAACGUUUCCUUUUUGAUGCGUGCGUGCAAGCUUGUUUCCUUCUGUUACUUUUGGGGAAGCCUUAUGCCUUGUAUCCCCUUGUUCUUGUACGCACGUAUAGGUGGGAUACGAUGUUAAGCGGUAUCCGAAAGAGUGAGGUCAUUGGUCAUCUCCCCAGAGUGAGCUCUGAUCCAAUGUGCAUCUCCUAGGAACUGACUUAGCCGUAGACUCAAACAGCUAAGUCCGCUUCGGAGAUACGGCCGGACUUCGAUUCGGGUUCAACUUGGUUAGGUGGCUUCCUGGACAUUGUUGUCGUGAAGGAGAGUGCGAGUCGUGAUAUCCACCUGUCAUAAGUGGGUCGAUCGUGCGUGUGGGCACAUUUGGGCACCCCUGCAGGGUUACAUCUUAUCGAUAAACCGUGUCCGCGGUUAUGGACGACUUGGAGCUGUAUGACUCGACCAUAGACAACUUACACCCGUUGUUUCAAUACUAAUAACUUGCGUAGUAAGUUAGCACAACUUCAAUAAAUCCUGGGUAAAACUUGACAACCGUGUGAGUGCCUUUGUAAGUACUUCCUUGCGAGGGGGGAACGCAUCGGCUGUGUUAUGUUUGCAGAGUAUAGAACUGUUAGUUAUGCGCUCUCUCACCUUCUCUGAUAGACGACUAUUGUAGAGUGUCUCUAUAGGUUUUUAGUGCUUGCGCGCUGCCGCUUAACCCCACCAUAUUGCCUAUGACGUUCCUCUUGCGUCCUCUAAGUCCCCUGCGUGCCUCAAGUACAAAGGACGACUGGUUGACGAAUGCUUAUACGUCUUGAAGUCUUGUUAAGUACGAACCCGUACUUAUUGCUGCUUCUACGGGAUAUAACCGGGCAGGUAUGAAGAUAUGUUCGAUGAAGACGACGCUAGCAAGGUUACCCUUCCGGCUUGGCCUGGGCAGGGUUAUGGACGCCACUGAUUAUCUUCAGGACUCUUAGUCCAAUUUGUAUCUUGUCCGUACUCGGACGCAUUCGAUCUUCUGUAUGAUUUGGAUCUUUGUAUUGUAUAUUUGUAUCUUGCCUCGUUGGAGUCGUUGUUGUAAUAUAUCUGUUCUUGUGGGCUCUAUUGUAAUCAUGUUGUAAUGUUACCGCUCGUGAUUGAUUCCACCCGCAUCGCGUGCAUGCUUCGGCGUGUACGAGGCGCUUGGUGGUGCGUCUCCUAAAAUCGAUAUUGUGCGGAUUUUGGCGGAUUCGCUGGGAUCCUCAUGGUACCGGUUUUGGGGCGUCACAAGUUGGUAUCAGAGCAUCAGGUUGACGGUACCCCACUAGUCCAGCCUUUUGGAUAACCUUGCCAACGGUCGUUGAGUUUUAAGAGUCCAAAACUAUUUUCAAAAUUCGUUGGAUAGAUCUGCUUAGCUCUGCAUUUUUCUUCUUACCUCUAUUCUUUCUCCUCUCAUCUUUGCGAGUUUUGAGUCUUCUCUCUUAUCUGAGUUUUCUGAGUCUUAGGAUCCUACGUGGGUUGGACGAUCUUUGCCUUAACUUAGUAGGUUCGAUCGUUGAAGAAUUCGGCCGCAACUACAUCAUCAUCAACGGAGCAACAACCUUUGUUAGUGGUGUCGACCGAUCAACAUGGAGCAACAAUUCUUGUUAGUGGUGUCGAGAAGAUCAACACUUCGCCAGAAGAAGGUUUCAUGCCGAGGUCGGGUGUUUGUCAACAUGGUACAAGAAGAUCCGAUAGUUUAACCAACUCCCCCUUAGGUUGACGUGGAAUCUCGGGGCGAGAUUCCUUGUUAGUGGUGUCGAUUGUAGCGACCCAGGAAAAUACACCUAUUAGAUUUUUGCUUGUGCAUCAUAUUGCAUUCAUGCAUCUCAUCAUGUCACUUUUGGUUCCUAUUAAAAUUGCAUUUGGUUUAAUUUUCCUUUGUUUAUGUUGGUUUUCCUCUCUCUCUUAUUCUAUCUCCAUCUCACUUGAGAUGUUCCAACCUUCAAGCCUACCUAUUCUUUUCCUUCUACUUGACCACUUUACAAAGAGGUCAUGGCAAAACUUCUAGUAACUAAGGUUAAUAUUAAACCCCCUCUCUUUAAUCUCUUACUUUGCAAUUGAUCAACUUGAGAAUGUUUUUGGAACAUUGAAAAUGUUUUGUCUUGGUUCCAAAUAAUGAUAAUUAUGUUGAAAGUAUUUCUAUCACUUCCCUGUACCUUUGUUUCAAACUCAAACUUGUUUUCCAAUGGGUUAAAAAAAAUCUGAGAAAGAAAAGGAAUAAUAAUAAAUCAGCCCAAGCUCUCUUUUCUCUUCCCUGGAGAAAGCCCAGCUGGCCUUGUUUCAUUCUGUGAACGAGAGGGAGUACUCUGCUCUUGUCUGUCACUUUCCGUCAGUUCAUCGACGCCGUGAUCCUUUUCCCGUCCUUCCUUCACGGUCACCUGAUCCCUCCAUUUCCCCCCUCCUCAAGAUCAAGCCAGCAAAACCUAGCUUUCCUCUUCCCUUUUUCCUCUAGCCGCCGCCGCCCCUUUCUUUUCCCCUCUCCCAUGCAAGCAGAGAAAAGGAGAGGUUCAGAAGUUUCAGUAAUCCACCGAGACCGCCGGAGAAAUCCUUGACCGUGCCGUCGCUUGGCGCCGCCUUUCACCGCGUUGAGCACGGGGAUGGAGCCCUCGUGGCCUCUGCUACCUCCUCGUUGAGCUACCAGAGCUAGGAGCGCUCGAUUCGCCUGCAUCGUCCUCGACUUCACGGAAACAAUGCUGUCGCUUCUUCAUCGUCUUCGGCCUCGUCUCGCUCUUCAUCGCCUUCCGAUCUUCCCCGUCCUCGACCACCGGCUCUGUGAGCACCUUCUUUCUCUACUCGUUCGAUUCCGUGGGUUUGUUUCAUAUGCUGCACCAUCGAGGCACCGCCGGCGAGCAGGUUUCAUGCCGCGUAUUUCUCCGUCUUCUUCUGUUAACAGCGGUUCAGAAAAGUUCAGUUCUUCUUGCUCUUUCUUCAGUUAACGCGGCAUCACCGGCUCCUCUCCUGCGCGCGCCGGCACCGGCCAUGUCGUGUUUGCUGACCGCCUCCUGGAAUCCUGGCCGACGACCCUGGCGUGCGUCCGGCUCGAUCCAAUUAACCCGAUGCCACUUUCCAUCUUCGUCAUCUGCAUUCGUCAGCUGAAGUCUUCUUCGUCAGUUCGUGUUCCUCCGCGCCUUGUGCAAGCCUAGUCUGCGUCUUGGAUGGGUUAAAAAUUCCCAAAUUUCCAUAUGCGUUUUGCUUCUUCCCGGAUAGGAUCGCGAAGUGGUGCGGUGAGAUACGACAAGUUCUCCGGAUGUUCCUCGGCAAGCUUUAACAGGAAAGCAUUUCCCCUAUACUCCUGCCCCUGCAGAAGUCGCUCACCUAUUUUAUUUUUUGCCUUCUCCCUCAUGCUAUCCUUAAGUUGCGUUCUUGUCACGUGUCCAUUCCACUUGUUACCUCAAGCAGCCCAUAUUGCCACCACCAACCACCAACCUCCUACAGCUGUUGUUUGGUUUCGGGUCUGCCUUGCGAGUCGUAGUGCAUGCUAGUGCUUUUAUAUCUCGUUACCGUUAAUGUUAUCUUAUCGGGUUAUCUAUUGGGGAAUCAUGACACAUGGUUUAUGGAUAUAUCUGUUGAGGGUAUCAUGGUUACCUUAAUUGUUAAGCGGAGACAUCGGUGGGUCAGUUGUUCGUUUUAUGGCGGCUCACUUGUGUUUCUUUAAAGCUUAGGACCCCGAGUUCUUGUUAUCUGUUCCGAGACUGAGCGCUCUAACCACACGUGGGUACGCCUAUGGGUCUCCCCUCGACCACUACCGGAAUCUACAGCUUUGUCCAGCGGCCACAACUAGAUUGUAACGUUUCCUUUUUGAUGCGUGCGUGCAAGCUUGUUUCCUUCUGUUACUUUUGGGGAAGCCUUAUGCCUUGUAUCCCCUUGUUCUUGUACGCACGUAUAGGUGGGAUACGAUGUUAAGCGGUAUCCGAAAGAGUGAGGUCAUUGGUCA